rnacentral:rRNA from 1 species
UACGUAGGUGACAAGCGUUAUCCGGAAUUACUGGGCGUAAAGCGCACGCAGGCGGCUGCGUAAGUCUGACGUGAAAUCUCCCGGCUUAACCGGGAGCGGUCGUUGGAAACUAUGCGGCUUGAGGCGAUGAGAGGGGUGUGGAAUUCCCGGUGUAGUGGUGGAAUGCGUAGAUAUUGGGAGGAACACCAGUGGCGAAGGCGGCUACCUGGACCGGUUCUGACGCUGAUGCGCGAAAGCGUGGGUAGCAAACAGG